AUACGGAGGAUCCGAGCGUUAUCCGGAUUUAUUGGGUUUAAAGGGAGCGUAGGCGGAGGAUCAAGUCAGCUGUGAAAUGUAGACGCUCAACGUCUGCACUGCAGUUGAAACUGGUCCCCUUGAGUGCGUAAGGGGCAGGCGGAAUUCGUCGUGUAGCGGUGAAAUGCUUAGAUAUGACGAAGAACUCCGAUCGCGAAGGCAGCUUGCCGGGCCGCAACUGACGCUGAAGCUCGAAGGUGCGGGUAUCGAACAGGAUUAGAUACCCUGGUAGUCCGCACAGUAAACGAUGGAUACUCGCUGUCGGCGAUAUACGGUCGGUGGCCAAGCGAAAGCGUUAAGUAUUCCACCUGGGGAGUACGCCGGCAACGGUGAAACUCAAAGGAAUUGGCGGGG
rnacentral:rRNA from 1 species